CCUACGGGUGGCAGCAGUGAGGAAUAUUGGUCAAUGGGCGUAAGCCUGAACCAGCCAAGUCGCGUGAGGGAUGAAGGUUCUAUGGAUCGUAAACCUCUUUUAUAAGGGAAUAAAGUGUGGGACGUGUCCUGUUUUGUAUGUACCUUAUGAAUAAGGAUCGGCUAACUCCGUGCCAGCAGCCGCGGUAAUACGGAGGAUCCGAGCGUUAUCCGGAUUUAUUGGGUUUAAAGGGUGCGUAGGCGGCCUUUUAAGUCAGCGGUGAAAGUUUGUGGCUCAACCAUGGAAUUGCCGUUGAAACUGGGAGUCUUGAGAAUGUUUGAGGCAGGCGGAAUGCGUGGUGUAGCGGUGAAAUGCAUAGAGAUCACGAAGAACCCCGAUUGCGAAGGCAGCUUACUAAACUGUGACUGACAUUGAUGCUCGAAAGUGUGGGUAUCAAACAGGAUUAGAUACCCCAGUAGUC
rnacentral:rRNA from 1 species